rnacentral:rRNA from 1 species
AAUCAACGCUGGCGGCGUGCCUAACACAUGCAAGUCGAACGAGAAGGUGACUUCGGUCACUGGAUAGUGGCGUCCGGGUGAGUAACACGUAGGUAAUCUACCUUCGGGUGGGGAAUAACGUCUCGAAAGAGACGCUAAUACCGCAUAAUGCAGCGGCACCUAAUGGUGAUUAGUUGUUAAAGCGGGGGAUCUUCGGACCUCGCGCCUGAAGAGGAGCCUGCGGCAGAUUAGCUAGUUGGUGAGGUAAUGGCUCACCAAGGCUUCGAUCUGUAGCUGGUCUGAGAGGACGGCCAGCCACACUGGCACUGACACACGGGCCAGACUCCUACGGGAGGCAGCAGUGGGGAAUUUUGGGCAAUGGGCGAAAGCCUGACCCAGCAACGCCGCGUGAAGGAGGAAAUCCUUCGGGAUGUAAACUUCAUAAGUAAGGGAAGAAAGCUGCGGAUCGAAUAAGUCCGCAGUCCGACGGUACCUUACGUAAGCCACGGCUAACUACGU